rnacentral:rRNA from 1 species
AUUGAACGCUGGCGGCAGGCCUAACACAUGCGAGUCGAGCGGAUGAAGGGAGCUUGCUUCUGGAUUCAGCGGCGGACGGGUGAGUAAUGCCUAGGAAUCUGCUUGGUAGUGGGGGAUAACGUCCGGAAACGGGCGCUAAUACUGCAUACGUCCUGAGGGAGCAAGUGGGGGGUCUUUGGACCUCACGCUAUCAGAUGAGCCUAGGUCGGAUUAGCUAGUUGGUGGGGUAAAGGCCUACCAAGGCGACGAUCCGUAACUGGUCUGAGAGGAUGAUCAGUCACACUGGAACGGAGACACGGUCCAGACUCCUACGGGAGGCAGCAGUGUGGAAUAUUGGACAAUAGUCGAAAGCCUGGUCCAGCCAUGCCGCGUGUGUGAAGAAGGUCUUCGGAGUGUAAAGCACGUUAAGUUGGGAGGAAGGGCAGUAAGUUAAUACCUUGCUGUUUUGACGUUACCAACAGAAUAAGCACCGGCUAACUUCGUG